GGUUCCUUUGUGUAGUCUUGACUGUCCUGGAAUUCGCUCUGUAGACCAGGCUGUCCUUGAACUCACAGAGAUCCACCUGCCUCUGCCUCCUGAGUGCUGGGAUUAAAGGCAUGCCCCACCAAUGCCUG
rnacentral:miRNA from 1 species